rnacentral:rRNA from 1 species
UACGAAGGGGGCUAGCGUUGCUCGGAAUCACUGGGCGUAAAGCGCACGUAGGCGGAUCUUUUAAGUCAGGGGUGAAAUCCUGGAGCUCAACUCCAGAACUGCCUUUGAUACUGGGGAUCUCGAGUCCGGGAGAGGUGAGUGGAACUCCGAGUGUAGAGGUGAAAUUCGUAGAUAUUCGGAAAGAACACCAGUGGCGAAGGCGGCUCACUGGUCCGGUACUGACGCUGAGGUGCGAAAGCGUGGGGAGCAAACAGG